CCAUUUUUGGAAAGAAUCAAAGAUUCAAAAUUACUUCAAAAGCUGUCCGGAUAAGUCUGCUUAGACGAUAAUGAUUUUGUAAAGAGAAAUCGUUUCUUUCGAUUCUCAGAUAAGGGUUUCAUUAUUCAAAUUUUAUUUUGUGGUUUGCUUUAAAUUGUGAUAGGAAGUUCUUUGCUAGGGUUUUCUUCUGGCUAUGAAAUGUUGGGUUUUAAGCUGAAAAAAAAUGGGGUAAGGCCAUCUUUCUCAUUGAAUUUUUCUCAUUGGGGUUCAUUUAACUGUGAAAUUAUAUUAUACAUGUAUAUUGUUCAACUUCAAGGAAGGAGGAAGUAAUUUGGAAGCAACCAUAGAGAAAUAUCUAAAUAUAGAGAAGCAGAGAGAAAUGGAGCAGAGUAAUUGCUCAAUAUCGUCACAAUCCAAAUUCCCCAAACUAUCUUCUUUGAAAAGGUUGGUGCAACAUUCUGAUACGUGUCUUAUAAUUUUGGGCCUUCAUAUGUGUAUUUAUAUUCGGUGUAUUAUUUUCUUGGUUUAUUUUCAUCAAUAAUACACAGUUGUGUUUCUAUUUCCUUAAAUUAUUUUUAAUUUAGUACUUUAUAUUUAUUUUGAUUUCUCUUAUGCACUUAUGCAAUCGAUUUAUUCAAAAAAGAUUAUUUAUAUGAAUUUUCUCUUAUAGAUUGGUUGGCCUUUAAAAUAACAGAUUUUAUGCUUCUAGAGAUCUCUAGAUGAACCUAAUCAGUAUGUUCUUUCAAUUCGCAAAAUAUAACUACUUGAAGCUACUCAAGUAGCUAUGUUAUUCAAGUCUCCAUAAAUAUUUAUAUAUAUUUGAUGAUCUUAGCAGCAUCAAAGAUCUAGAGUUUACCCACUAGCGAGCCCAAUCGUUCAGCACCUCUCUUGGUGUGACUCAACAGUUUCCGUUAUUGUAAUUCAAACCCAAAAACCGAUGUUGCUAUUUAAAACGCAGAGCACAUUCUUUUUCGAACCCUAAAAUCUGCACUCUCGUCUUUCUAUUUGUUCCGCUAUACUCAAAUAUCAUGAUUGACUUCUCUGUACGUGAGUGUCUAUUUUUUCCACUCCACUCAAAUUCCAUGAUCAACUUCUUUCAGUGUAAUUUUGCGUCAAUGGUAUCUAGGUUAAUGGGAUUAAGAAGCUUCAUGGAACCCAACAAUGUUGUUUGGGGGGCCCUGUUAGGUGGACGUAAGCUUCAUAGAAACAUGACUAUUGGUCAGAUUGCUAUCAAUGAAUUAAUGGUAUUGGAGCCAAACAAUAGUGGUUAUUAUCACCUUUUAGUGAACAUGUAUGCUGAAGAGAAUCGGUGGAAAGAGGUUUCAAAGAUAUGGACAACAAUGAAGGGCCUUGGAGUGGAAAAGAGAUGUCCUGGGUCCAGUUGGAUUGAAAUACAAAGCAAAAUUCACCAGUUUGCUGCAUCUGAGAAUGCUCAUUUAGCUUGUCCCGAAGUCUACAAGCUGUUGGGUGAAUUAGAUGGACAACUUAAACUCUCUGGCAUUGUACUAGAACUCAGUUUUACCUAAAGAGAGACAAACUUAAUGUUUAGAUAUUACUCAGGCUGGAGAGGAUGAUGAAAUGGGGUAGCUAAUAUGACAGCAUCUUUUACGCUAUAGCUUUAAAAAUAGCUGUAGUACACACACACAGACUCUGCUGCAGACAGACAAAGCAAGUGUAGAAGAACCAUUCUAACAUGACUGAUGCUUAGUUGGCAAUUCUUCUUAUAGCCACUACUUAAAUGAAGCAAUUGACCGAUUGGAGAAUCAAACUUAUUCUUUCUUGGAUAGGAAACUACCCUGGUAUUAAAUGUGCAAUGAUAACCACGGGAUUACAUGGGUAAAUGACAGCAAAGCAACCAAUUUUGAUGCAACAUAUGCAGGACUAAUGGGUCUAAAGGGGCGAAAGUCUUGUUAUGUCUAUUGUGCCAUCAGACAGAGGAGUAAAUAGUCCAGAUUUUGGUUAAGCGUGCUUUCGUUGGGUCUUGUUGGACCUGAUCUGGUGUUAGCAUGGGUGAUCUUUCUGGUGUAUUGUUUUCUAAUUUUCUAAUUUUUGGGUCGGAGACAUUGAAAUUAAGAAUUUAUUUUUUGAAACCUCGAACAUUGUUUUCUUUUUUUCUCCUUCCAAU